GAUGAACGCUGGCGGCGUGCUUAACACAUGCAAGUCGAACGGAAAGGCCCUGCUAUUGUGGGGUGCUCGAGGGCCGAACGGGUGCGUAACACGUGAGUCACCUGCCCUUGAUUUUGGGAUAACUUCACGAAACUGGGGCUAAUAACGUACAGGAGCCUCCCCACCAUUGUGGGGGGUGGAAAUUUUCGGCGGUUGGGGCUGGUCUCGCGGCUUACCAGCUUGUUGGUGGGGUAGUGGCCUACCAAGGCUUCGGCGGGUAGCCGGCCUGAGAGGGUGACCGACCCCAUGAGGACUGAGACACGGCCCAGACUCGUACGGGGGGCAGCAGUGGGAAAUAUUGCACAAUGGGCGGAAGCCUGGUGCAACGACGCCUCGUUCGGGAUGACGGCCUUCGGGUUGUAAACCGCUUUCGCCUGUGACGAAGCGUGAGUGACGGUACCGGGUAAAGAAGCACCGGCUAACUUCGUG
rnacentral:rRNA from 1 species